rnacentral:rRNA from 1 species
UACAGAGGGGGCAAGCGUUGUUCGGAAUUACUGGGCGUAAAGGGCGCGUAGGUGGCCUUCUAAGUUGAACGUGAAAUCCCUGGGCUCAACCCAGGAACUGCGUCCAAGACUGGGAGGCUUGAAUCCGGGAGAGGGAUGCGGAAUUCCAGGUGUAGCGGUGAAAUGCGUAGAUAUCGGAAGGAACAUCAGUGGCGAAAGCGACUUCCUGGUCCAGCAUCGACGUUCAGGCACGAAAGCGUGGGGAGCAAACAGG